AACCUUCACUAAUAUUUAUUUCCUACUUUGCAUUUUCCUAUAGGAAAAGAAUAUUUGAGGACCAUUUGUAAAGAAAGAAAAGGAAGCAAUGACAUAAUGCCUGGUGGUGGAGCCAGUUAACUGGUAAACAUUGGAGUCUUCAGAAAAUAAGUGAAGGAAUGAGAGGCAAGGAAGAAAGUGUAUUCAUCCUGGAAGGACCUAAAACACUUUGAAACUUUAAACGAAUGUAAUGAUAGCUGUCAAAACCACCUUUGUCACCGUAAUGGAUGAAGUACUUCAGAUUUAACCGGACUUUUGGGAUAACAUUGCCCUGGUUUGUUUGAUGAUCUGCACACAAGUUGAGAGUUUACUGAAAGGAACAGAUCACACUUACAAGAGCUGCUAUGAUACCUAGGGGAGGUGAAAACUGAUGGAUGAAAGUUUUGCCAUGCACUGAAAGGAAAGCAUUGUCU
rnacentral:lncRNA from 1 species